rnacentral:rRNA from 1 species
GGGUUGUGAGGUUAAGCGACUAAGCGUACACGGUGGAUGCCCUGGCAGUCAGAGGCGAUGAAGGACGUGCUAAUCUGCGAAAAGCGUCGGUAAGGUGAUAUGAACCGUUACAGCCGGCGAUGUCCGAAUGGGGAAACCCAGUGCAAUUCGUUGCACUAUCGUUAACUGAAUACAUAGGUUAACGAGGCGAACCGGGGGAACUGAAACAUCUAAGUACCCCGAGGAAAAGAAAUCAACCGAGAUUCCCCCAGUAGCGGCGAGCGAACGGGGAGCAGCCCAGAGUCUGAAUCAGCUUGUGUGUUAGUGGAACGGUCUGGAAAGUCCGACGGUACAGGGUGAUAGUCCCGUACACCAAAAUGCACAGGUUGUGAACUCGAAGAGUAGGGCGGGACACGUGGUAUCCUGUCUGAAUAUGGGGGGACCAUCCUCCAAGGCUAAAUACUCCUGACUGACCGAUAGUGAAUCAGUACCGUGAGGGAAAGGCGAAAAGAACCCCGGCGAGGGGAGUGAAAAAGAACCUGAAACCGUGUACGUACAAGCAGUGGGAGCACCUUCGGGUGUGACUGCGUACCUUUUGUAUAAUGGGUCAGCGACUUAUAUUCUGUAGCAAGGUUAACCGUAUAGGGGAGCCGCAGGGAAACCGAGUCUUAACUGGGCGUUAAGUUGCAGGGUAUAGACCCGAAACCCGGUGAUCUAGCCAUGGGCAGGUUGAAGGUUGGGUAACACUAACUGGAGGACCGAACCGACUAAUGUUGAAAAAUUAGCGGAUGACUUGUGGCUGGGGGUGAAAGGCCAAUCAAACCGGGAGAUAGCUGGUUCUCCCCGAAAGCUAUUUAGGUAGCGCCUCGUGAACUCAUCUUCGGGGGUAGAGCACUGUUUCGGCUAGGGGGUCAUCCCGACUUACCAACCCGAUGCAAACUACGAAUACCGAAGAAUGUUAUCACGGGAGACACACGGCGGGUGCUAACGUCCGUCGUGAAGAGGGAAACAACCCAGACCGCCAGCUAAGGUCCCAAAGUCAUGGUUAAGUGGGAAACGAUGUGGGAAGGCACAGACAGCCGGAUGUUGGCUUAGAAGCAGCCAUCAUUUAAAGAAAGCGUAAUAGCUCACUGGUCGAGUCGGCCUGCGCGGAAGAUGUAACGGGGCUAAACCAUGCACCGAAGCUGCGGCAGCGACACUAUGUGUUGUUGGGUAGGGGAGCGUUCUGUAAGCCUGCGAAGGUGACCUGUGAGGGUUGCUGGAGGUAUCAGAAGUGCGAAUGCUGACAUAAGUAACGAUAAAGCGGGUGAAAAGCCCGCUCGCCGGAAGACCAAGGGUUCCUGUCCAACGUUAAUCGGGGCAGGGUGAGUCGACCCCUAAGGCGAGGCCGAAAGGCGUAGUCGAUGGGAAACAGGUUAAUAUUCCUGUACUUGGUGUUACUGCGAAGGGGGGACGGAGAAGGCUAUGUUAGCCGGGCGACGGUUGUCCCGGUUUAAGCAUGUAGGCUGGUUAUCCAGGCAAAUCCGGAUAAUCAAGGCUGAGGUGUGAUGACGAGGCACUACGGUGCUGAAGUAACAAAUGCCCUGCUUCCAGGAAAAGCCUCUAAGCAUCAGGUAACAUCAAAUCGUACCCCAAACCGACACAGGUGGUCAGGUAGAGAAUACCAAGGCGCUUGAGAGAACUCGGGUGAAGGAACUAGGCAAAAUGGUGCCGUAACUUCGGGAGAAGGCACGCUGGUGUGUAGGUGAAGUCCCUGCGGAUGGAGCUGAGACCAGUCGAAGAUACCAGCUGGCUGCAACUGUUUAUUAAAAACACAGCACUGUGCAAACACGAAAGUGGACGUAUACGGUGUGACGCCUGCCCGGUGCCGGAAGGUUAAUUGAUGGGGUUAUCCGUAAGGAGAAGCUCUUGAUCGAAGCCCCGGUAAACGGCGGCCGUAACUAUAACGGUCCUAAGGUAGCGAAAUUCCUUGUCGGGUAAGUUCCGACCUGCACGAAUGGCGUAAUGAUGGCGGGCUGUCUCCACCCGAGACUCAGUGAAAUUGAACUCGCUGUGAAGAUGCAGUGUACCCGCGGCAAGACGGAAAGACCCCGUGAACCUUUACUAUAGCUUGACACUGAACAUUGAGCCUUGAUGUGUAGGAUAGGUGGGAGGCUUUGAAGCGUGGACGCCAGUCUGCGUGGAGCCAACCUUGAAAUACCACCCUUUAAUGUUUGAUGUUCUAACGUUGGCCCCUUACCGGGGUUGCGGACAGUGUCUGGUGGGUAGUUUGACUGGGGCGGUCUCCUCCCAAAGCGUAACGGAGGAGCACGAAGGUUAGCUAAUCCUGGUCGGACAUCAGGAGGUUAGUGCAAUGGCAUAAGCUAGCUUGACUGCGAGCGUGACGGCGCGAGCAGGUGCGAAAGCAGGUCAUAGUGAUCCGGUGGUUCUGAAUGGAAGGGCCAUCGCUCAACGGAUAAAAGGUACUCCGGGGAUAACAGGCUGAUACCGCCCAAGAGUUCAUAUCGACGGCGGUGUUUGGCACCUCGAUGUCGGCUCAUCACAUCCUGGGGCUGAAGUAGGUCCCAAGGGUAUGGCUGUUCGCCAUUUAAAGUGGUACGCGAGCUGGGUUUAGAACGUCGUGAGACAGUUCGGUCCCUAUCUGCCGUGGGCGCUGGAGAAUUGAGGGGGGCUGCUCCUAGUACGAGAGGACCGGAGUGGACGCAUCACUGGUGUUCGGGUUGUCAUGCCAAUGGCACUGCCCGGUAGCUAAAUGCGGAAGAGAUAAGUGCUGAAAGCAUCUAAGCACGAAACUUGCCCCGAGAUGAGUUCUCCCUGAGACUUUAAGUCUCCUGAAGGAACGUUAAAGACGAUGACGUUGAUAGGCCGGGUGUGUAAGCGCAGCGAUGCGUUGAGCUAACCGGUACUAAUGAACCGUGAGGCUUAACCUUACAACGCCGAAG